GUUUCAGGGCGGGGUGAAAUUCCCCACCGGCGGUACAGCCCGCGACCACCCGCAAGGGUGCUGACUCGGUGAAACUCCGGGGCCGACAGUAAAGUCUGGAUGGAAGAGA
rnacentral:ncRNA from 1 species